AAAAAGAUAAGCUAAAUAAAGCUAUUAGGUUCAUACCCUAAUUAUAGAAAUUAACUUUCUUCUUUUUA
rnacentral:tRNA from 1 species